ACGCUCGACACCUACUGGAGGCAGCAGUGGGGAAUAUUGCACAAUGGGGGAAACCCUGAUGCAGCGACGCCGCGUGAAGGAAGAAGUAUUUCGGUAUGUAAACUUCUAUCAGCAGGGAAGAAACUGACGGUACCUGACUAAGAAGCACCGGCUAAAUACGUGCCCNNNCGCGAGUAUGNGAGGCGNGNGACGAG
rnacentral:rRNA from 1 species